rnacentral:lncRNA from 1 species
UGUAUUUCACAUAUAAAAACUAUAAUAAUGUGAAUCUUCUUUUCAUAUAAAAUAAUUUAAAAUACAAUCAAUGAUUAAAAUAUGAAAUCUGAAAUAAGAUUGCUCUAUAAUUUAGAAUAAGAAUUAAAAGUGUUUGGAUUCAAUUUGAGAAGAUUGCUCCAUAAUUUAGAAUUUUACAUUAGUUAUUUUUGGAAUUUGAAAUAAGAUAAUAAGUAUGUAUUAAACUUGAAAAAUUUAU